AUUGAACGCUGGCGGCAGGCCUAACACAUGCAAGUCGAACGGUAACAGGUUAAGCUGACGAGUGGCGAACGGGUGAGUAAUGCAUCGGAACGUGCCCGAUCGUGGGGGAUAACACUUCGAAAGAAGUGCUAAUACCGCAUACGAUCUGAGGAUGAAAGCGGGGGACCGAAAGGCCUCGCGCGAUCGGAGCGGCCGAUGUCAGAUUAGGUAGUUGGUGGGGUAAAGGCUCACCAAGCCGAAGAUCUGUAGCUGGUCUGAGAGGACGACCAGCCACACUGGGACUGAGACACGGCCCAGACUCCUACGGGAGGCAGCAGUGGGGAAUUUUGGACAAUGGGCGCAAGCCUGAUCCAGCAAUGCCGCGUGCAGGAAGAAGGCCUUCGGGUUGUAAACUGCUUUUGUACGGAGCGAAAAGGCUCCCUCUAAUACAGGGAGCUCAUGACGGUACCGUAAGAAUAAGCACCGGCUAACUACGUGCCAGCCGCCGCGGUAA
rnacentral:rRNA from 1 species